GGCCGCGCCCGGGACCGGGCUGAGGCACGCAGCCAGGCCGAGUCACCGCGCAGCGGCUGCCCGGCGGGGAGCAGGCACGAAAGCUGUCUUGUUUUCGCGCUGCGGUGGAGCCGGAGCGCAGCAGAGCGGGGAGGCGAAGUUGUGCGGUGCCCGCGCUAAGCGCAAGUCUCUCACUCGCUUUUAACAUCAACCGCACCGGUCGGUUAACUGUAUUCACGGGGCGCGCCUCUCCCUCUUCUGCCUCUCGAAAAGAUGUUUCUGCUGUCCCAGCUGCCGCCGUACUCACCGUCACACGAGCCCGUGUUUGUCCGCACCAGGUUGUGAUUAGGAUGUUGUUAGGGCUGCGGCUGCCCCCAAAAUAUGCAGUAAAACACCCCUGGAUUUCUGAAGUAUAUUAUGCAAAUUGGAGGGCUGUAAUUUAGGUUAUUAUACGUGUUUUAAUUGUGCUAAAAAAAACAUGGGACAGGUGCAACGUGAAAUUAUAUUAAUCAGCUGUGAGGAGGCAGGAGGGAAUUACUUUGUGUUAUUCAAACGUUUUGGCCCCCGUCGAGCGAGGAAAGGGUUCCACAGAUCAGAUUUAUUCAGUGACAGUAAAACUGGCAAAUGCAACGUAUAAAAUGAAGUCAAACAAACGCUCCGCGGUGCCAGAAAUAGCAUAGUCUGAUCAAGCCAGAAAUUCAUUUGCUCCCCCCUCAGCAGCCAUCUCCCAGCGGGCUUCAAUGAACUGCCUUAUGCAAGUAAGGAUUUCUGCCAUCAGGCUGUAUGCUUUAAACAGGUGAGUUUGCCUCCUUGCUCUCCAAACCUCAAGAUCUCAAUUGUGAUACCUUAGCUUUAGGUAGGCACUUGGACUAUUUUCUUGCUAAAAUGCACUUGCUGAGAUCCCUUACCUCUAGGACAUGCUUUGCAUGCUGAUGGAAGCAUCCGUAACACGGCUUUCUGAAAGCAGACCUGACUGGUCUAACCUAAUUUUUGCAUCACUGCUCCACGGAUGGGAAGCAAAUGGUUUUUAGCCUGGUCAGAAGGGUCUUCAGCUGCUACAGCAAACAGAUCUCGUCUUUUAAACAAACAGUAACAUGAAUUGGAGAAGCCUAUAGCUGAAAACGUUAGAUUUAGUGUCAUAGUAGAUGCCAAACCAGAAGUGGAUUUUACUCCUCUUAAUUCUGCUAGGUCACGCAAGGUCCUUAAAACACACACAGGCAGAGCGAGCGACACCUUUACCGGUGCUAUUCUGUAAUCAUUUUGGAUCUGAUUUAAUUGAAGAUUAGUCCCUACGUGUAAACAGAAACCAUCCUAUGAAACAAUACAAUGAGGUUUUUACCUUAACACAAAGAGGUUGGGGAAUUUCUAUCCUAUAUCAAAGUUGCAAGUCUACCGAAGGCCGAAUUGUUGAUCUGCUCUCAUCGUACCACGUAAAAUCCACUUCAGGCAACAGUCCGAUACCUUAGCUCUCGUGUUUCAUCAGCAACGUCUCAUUUAUCAGCUCUCCUGACAUAAAUCCGCUCCCCAUCAAAGCAGAUUAAGACAAGUCUAAUUCCACCAAACUCUGUAACAAAAGACUCUUUCAAAAAUACACACACCCAACGUUGCACAAGAUGAGCCGGCUCCCAACAACCUCUCAAAGCACCCCGUGCAAGUUACUGGCAAAUUAUUGCUACAUUUACAAAUUGUAAUUAUUAAUACUGCAGACCUCGAACGUUUCUCUUGGCCCAACCACCACGUAACAUCUGUGGUGACCAAAGCCCCAGCAGAUGUCUUCAACCUAAGGAAAUUCCUGCCAGGCAGGGUAACGACCAGAAGGGCUCAUCACCUCUACUCCUGCCGGGAGAGCUGGCAGAGCCUGUAUGGACGGCCACGAGCUGGGAGGAGGAGGUCAGCAGGGAAGGUAUCUACGAAGGCACUCACCAGGCAGCUUCAGCCAGCUUUGGCUAAGCAGUAGCCCAACAAAACCCAUGGAGCUGCGGAGCCGAGAGGCCUGCGUAGGGGUGGACGCCUCAGCUCCCUGAGCAGUGGCCUCCCAAGUUCUCAUCAGCUCUCCUCUUGUUCACUGCUGUGUAUCAAUAAUGCCAACUAGCGGCCAAUAUUAGCAACAUUUGCCCUGAAACCUGUCUUGAACGCAGCAGCAAAUGGUGAGACGUGCUUAUAUUCGUAUCUCAGAUCGCUGCUAAAAUGAGACGUGAUGCAUCGGUUUGCAAAUCAAAACCUCAACUUCUUCCCUCGCUACCAACUAAACAUGCAGAUUAAUCACUGUUGCCUGUCUCCACGUUGCUGUCUUAUUCAGAGCCAACACUGAGCAAAGACGCGCUGGAAAUGCUGCACUGGGCUUUCCCGUGGACAAAGUGGCCUGAAAUAACUGUUCUUGACAUGAGAAAACAGCUGACCCACUGCCCAAAGUUGAAGCAGAUCAAGAAGCCUUGUUCAGUGCUUUGGGGCUUUCCUGUUAAAACGCAUUUUCAUUGUUUUCAACGCCCUUUCUAAUCAUAACCAUGAGGUUUUCUCUCAUGUCUGGGUCCUGGUGCUGGGAGUAGCACUAUAAUGAUGACAACAUAACCUCAGACCAAGAGUGACUUUUUUCUGUCCAGCUUUCAACCACCUCUGGUUUAUCCUUUCUCACAAAAUGCCUAUAGCCUGAGCUGGAAGGGGAAGGGGACUUCCAGACCAUUCUGCAGCACAGCAUUAAAGAAACCAGAAGGAAAUUUUCUGUGAAACUGCCUCAAUAUUGGAUGGGGAUAACUGGUGCAAUGAGCUCUGCAAGGCCCACAGCACAGACACAAGAGCAGCGCUACAACCAAGGCAGUGAGCCCACUCCAGUGGGCUUGGAUUUCAGUCUCCUUACUUUCCACAAACAAGGACAACUUUAACUACCAGGAAAACAGAAUCACGUUCUCAUAGGGGAUGCACAGUUGUCUCCCAGAAUGCUGCAGCAUCGUUCAGCUCUUUGGUGCAGGAAUAAGAGGAAAAACCGCUUUAUCUCAGCAAGGCUUUAAACCAGAAAAAUAUACGUUUCACUGUACUUUGCCCAGGACCCCUCAGUCUCUCAAUUUACACACGGUAAUGGAUAGACUAACACUGAGGUUACCCCAUACGUUCAGGCUUCUCAAACAUAUUUUUCUACUGAAAAACGUUGCCCAGACAGAUUUUGAACAAUUACCCACUUCUUGGACGCCGUAACUCAGUCACACCUACUUCACGGGAGUUCUGACAGCUGGCCAGAAAUCCCAGGCACAGUGGUAAGACACGUGCAGGUCAACUGUGCUGUAGUUGCGCAUGAGACCAACACCUGCAGGGAGCUUCAGCAUUGAUUUCCACCAUCCUACACAGUUGAUAUGCGAGGAUCCGUUCAGUCGGAGAGUGGGUAUCAGCAUGCAGGAAAUCCCAGGCAGAAACAAGACAAUGCUGAGUGUCUCACACCACUGAGACUCACACCACAUUAGCAACUCAAAGCUUAUUGAAGCAAAGCACUUGCUGUUCGCACGUCUCGUGUCUUGACCUUAUUUCACUAUGAUUUUCAUACCAUAGAUUUUAAAUACCUUUAGUUCAGACUUCCAGUUACUAGAGAAAUCCCAGCUUUCAAAUCACAUGGCUAUUUGACCCCAGGAAAGUCCCAAAACUCAGCUGUGGAACUGUCCUCCAUUAGUCAGACAAAAAUUCAAUAAACAGGAAAUAUUCUCACUUUUCUAAAAAGCACCUAAACCAAGGCAGCCAAAUAAGAUUUGGCUACUGUAAGGAAAACGUUGGUUUCUUCCAAGUAGCAAUAUAAAAACUUCCCUGAUGCUUGGGAUCAAUUUCAAAUUCCAGGACAGGAUUUAUCCACAGUUAAACGCAUGCAGUCAUCUUCAAGAAGGACAACAUCGCUAUUAGAAUUUGUUGCCACAUAUGUCUCAGCAACGUAACUCCUACACCUGCAUGAAGGGUACUAAUAUCAUGAAAAAGAUACUAGCGUCAUGUCUUAUUUUGACUCUGUAAGAUUAACAGCCAGUUUCUACACACUUAGAAAGAAAUCCAGGACAAUGGAUAGUAACAACACAUUACGUUAAUAUGCAAGUUGUGCAGCAGUUAGCAUAAAAUAGCAAGAAACUUGAAAAGAAACCCUUUGGAUUUAGUGGGGCAUCAUGGAAAACUCUGUUCUCACACCUUGGCUCUUUCCUUCAGUUCUCAGCUGGGAAGACAUAUUGCCUAAAGCCAGACACAUCCUGUCUCACAGGACACUGCUUUCCAUGGAAGCUAGACCAUGGGUUUUUAAGUUUCCUUUUCAAUUCCUGCCAAUUUCUUGCAAAGAAAGCAGGGCUAAAGGCAGCUCUAGACUAGCCUUACACGUUUCAUCUCUUAGAGCUGGUGAUCGGGGAUGCAAAAACUGCACUCAGGUUUGCUGGCAGCAUCAUCAGAACUGUUUUGCUGUCCAUAAAACCCUGGGCUACAGUAGAAGGGAGGGCUGGGGCCACCCCUGCCAUCCUAUUGCUCUGGGAGGCUGGGGAUGGGAAGGACAUGCCCAGGAAAACAGCAUGCAGUCCCAGAGCUUUGCCAGCAGCUAGCCACAGGCACUUGGAGGCAGAGGGUGUUUGCUCCCCACACACACCCUCUUCCUAUCAACUUCCAUUAAAUGCAAAGGGAAACAUGGCUGUGAAAAAAAAAAAGUCAAUAAAAGGUUUCAGUAGCCAAAAAUAAAUGGAUUGCCUCAGGAACAAAGGUGAUAUAAGAGUUUAAUUUGGAGCAGAAAUAUGACUUUGUUCCCAGUGUCCCUAGGUGACACCUUUCCCUCACUAGCUGGUCACACAGACUGGCUAACAACACGUCCAGGGUUUGGCCCUUUCUCUGGUCCCUAGGUGCCUUGACGGAAGCCAGGAUAUCCCAGCUGAAAAUACCCAGCUUCUGUCUCAAGUAGUCACACGCCUCCUAUGCUCAUCCAUACACCUGUCUCAAGUGACACUGUAGUAUGACUACAAUUACAUUUUGUUCUCUCCAAGAAGCUCAGAGCUGAGCUGCCUCCCAACCUGCAGAUACAGGCACAGGUAGCAAAUCAGGAUGCUGCAUAAUCAACCUCAUGCGGUAAGCCAGAGAAACCCUCACCAGGAGGUGUAAAGGAGUUUAUGGCCUGGUUCAUUAAACUUAUAGCAUACGGGAUUUUAAAGUGAAGUUUAGGUUCAUUAAACGUACUUCUUUUUAUUCCCACAGGGUUUUGCUAAAUCUCAAAAGUAAGCAUAAAUCCCUGCUCUUACACAUUUUGCUGUGCUGUCAGCAGUCUAAACGCGCCAAGUUUACUCCCAUCCUAUUGAACGCGGCAAACUUGUAUGCUGAUGAAUUCUGCUAUCCCCAAAUUACUCACUAGAUUAAACAAACAAACAAAAACUGGAAUCAAAAUACCCAAGACGCUUGCAUCCACUUCCAAUCUCUCUUCCAGUCAAUGCCCUGAGUUUAGCUGCCCAUCUGCCCUAACUCCGAAAAAUGAUUACACCCUCUUCCAAAACGAAAAAAGAAAAAGAUUAUAUUCAGGGAGAAUUGCCCAAAGUAUCAAAGCUGUUUGGGGUUAAAAACUGCAGUUAUUUCCACCUGCGUUUUGUCCCCAGACCCACUGUGGGCUUUCAGAACCCCAGCAUUUAUUGCGGUUUCUUCCCUCUUGGUCAUCACGCAUUACCCAUCCAAAACCCAACCAAUCCUCUAUACCCAACCCCAAUGCAGAUGUGUGCCGUAUGCAUAUAUGUAAUACGUAAGCUCCAAUCAAUUACAGCUUUUAAAGAAUAAAGCAAACGGAAAUAACAGAGUACCUUCAUGUCAGAAGAGCGAAGUUAGAGCUCUGCGGCAUACAAGCCAUCUCCUUGUACCCCACUGGCAACCAGUCGUCCCUUAUGGCCACGUCUAUGAGAAUGACUGAGAAGUUCCUCUGAGGUUUAACAAUAUGAAACAGAGAAGCAACAGCAGGGAAACUACCCGCCAAACAUCUCGCUUACUCUGGCUUUUUAGUCACGGGGAGAAAAAAAAAAACAGUCAAAAAAAAGACACCUUAAACACCUUCUCCCCAGGUUUUACAGCUCCGGGCUGAGUGCCCACAGGGCUGUUUUUAUUGCAGUGCCCAGGCACCAUUUAUCUUUUAGCUCUGGUUAAUCGGGGAGGGCCAGGGGGGGAAUGUUAUGACAUGUGAGAGGAAGCGGGAGGGUGGAGGACAGCAGCGCGAGAGCAGCUCCCUGGACUUUUUCUGCAUGGUGGAAUUUCCCAGGCAGGGUGAGCCCCAUCAGGGACAUUCCCCUGCCAGGGAGGCUGGCAGGAAACCCCGAGCUGGCGUAACGCUGCCAAAUAGGGUCUAGAACAUACUGACGUAUGUUUUACAGCAAGAGCAAUGAAAGAGGUCUGUUAUAACAACGCAAGGGAACAGAAAUCUGCAGUGAGCAACUCAGCAGGAUUUCUUUCCUCCUGUAAUUUGGUUCCACCUUCUAUUUUCAGUGCUGUACAUACAGCCGCAAGAAACUGAGAAGCGUUUUGUAACCCUCUUCUGUCACUGUGCUACAGGGUAAUCUGUACAAGCAGGUGCCUGUACAGCAGACACAAAGAAAGCAAGCAUCAAAUUGAACAGCCUGAGCCUUCAAGAUACAGAGCAGGGAACAGUACCUCUCUCCUUGGUGAAUCUCAUCUGGAUUUCGUUGUGGUUUCGCCUUCAGAAGGGCCGAGAUGAAUUUCACAGAAGCUGCUAUCACUUACAUCGUGCAAACUCCACACAAUCAGAAGCUUGAUUUAAGAAAAAAGUACUUCCCCUUAGUCACAGAUGCAAUGGAUGUAAAGCAGUCAUCUGCUUCAGUAGAUAAACUGAUCUUCCAGUCUUCAUAAUGGGAGAAGUUCCUAAGAUUUUCCUAAAAGGAGAAAGGCUCCUUAAAAAUCAUUUUGCUUUUCUUCCCCUUUCACCAGUGCCACAUGCCAGAACUCUCCUUGCUCAUCAAACAGUGCAGCCAACAAGGAGAGGACACUCAGAUCUUCUCAGAGCAAACGUUUCCUGGCUUCAAUGUAUUUCAUUAACUUCUCUUAAGCGUAGUUAACACAUGUCUACCAAUGAGGUAAGAACACUUAACUCCUAAUCCCCUUGUAUGUGCUUCCCACAAGGGAAGUAGAUAUUAAAAAAAAAAGGGGGGAGUAAAAUAAAAAGCAGGCACUACCCCCACCUUCACCCUGCCUCAGCAAGCUGAAAGACGUAGGAGAAAACUUUUUCUUCCCAAAGGUGAUAAUUUUGAAACCUUCCGCCUGCAGGCAGGAAAUGCUGUGUGGGCUCCAUCUUCCUGUUCUCAGAUCUAUUAUAUCACUGGAACAUGUUCAACUGAUAAUCUCAAUGGGCUCAACGCUUCUUCAAAAUAAGGGUAUUUUCUUCUAGCCAGGGCAAGAAUUGGCUGGGCAGCUGUAGGCGUAGAGUGCCCUCAGCCUUGUGUAACGCACAGCUGGGCAGUGCCUCAGACCAGGCCCUCACACAGCUCUCUCCCACUGCAGGUUCACAACAGUGGGCUGCAGCAGACCUGAGUGGCCUCUCAACACCUCCCCAAGAGACCAAGACCUCUCUUUGCAAAGAAGGAAUGUGGAUGAGCCAUCAUCAUCAGUACCUGGAGCACCACUCAGCAAAUCCAGCUCUUUCCCCGUAGGUGUAGCUGCCUCCCAAACCAGGGUAGCUCAAGUGCUCUGUGUCCUAAAGCCAUUAUCAGACACUCGUUAUCAGCUGCAAACUCACCAGAGGUCAGCCCGAGGAGGAGGGCCAUCCACUGGUUCUAACUGCUGCUGCAAAAACAAAGUCCAAAUGGGACAAGAAGCAGGAACUGAGGCACAGAAGGGCAAAGUAACAAAGCCAAGCAUAAGACGUGCAGUAGAAAAGGAAGAAAAGUCACAAUUUCAGUCAGAAAUGAAAAUAUCUUCUUGUAGCAGUAUUUGCUGGACAGACAAAUUAGAGCAAUAAGACAUUAGGAGUAAAUCUGUUGCCACAAAACCUACAUUGCAAAUGGUGGAUAUGAAGUCAAUGGGAUUGGAAGAUACUCAUUUAUUGGACACAUUUUACAACAAUAAAAUAAUUGUAGCAUUUGUUUGUUACUUGAGUUCUUGAAUUUUUUUAAUUAAGUUGUGAAGACAGUAUCUGCUUUCCUUAGUUUUUUGUGUUACUUAUCAAAGGCAAAAGUAAGACACAGCAGAAGCUACUAAUAAUAAAAACACUAAGGACAAAAAGGUUAAAGAUGAACCAGAAAGGGAAGACAAGAUUAGAAGGAAGAAACAGCUAAGACAGAAAUAUCUGCCUUGCCAGGAGAGAAUCUGAUUUAGGUAGUGAAAAAGAACAAGUGGUUCUGGAAAAAAUGUGACUCACUUGUCCCAGGGAAUAAGAUAGGAGGAAGGAUUGGAAAGAACCGAAUGCAGAAUGGCAAGGGAAAAAACAUCAGCUCGUUCUGCUUAUUCUGCUUUUUACUCAGGUACUUUUGUGAUACCUCGUACCUGGUGAGCCCCAAAGGGCAAGUCCCACCUUGAAGCUCUUCUGUGAGAUCCUUCAGAGCAAGCUGCCAUGCUGUGGCAGAGCAGCACUCAUGCCAUACCAAAUACCAAUCAUUGCAAACAAGCUGCAGCAGACAUUCAGACAGAAAGAGAAAGGAGAGCCCUGUAUCAGGCUGAGCCAAAAAGAAACCAGGCUUAUAUAGAUAUGCAGAAGGCCCAAGCAUGAAGACAGGAGGUAAAAUACACUUGUCUACAAAGGCUGCUCUGAAAGUAAGGCCUCCUAUUUUAUUAUGUUGGCCCACAACAUCAGAGGUGAAUGCUGGUGGUAUGGCAGUACAGGUUGAACCUUUCCAAAAAUAUUCCUUUACAUUUUGUUGCCACGGGACUGAUGGCAGCAGAUUGCAGUCUGACAAAGUGGUAUAUGAUAAGGAAGUGCGUUUGAAGCAAAGGUGUGUCACUAAAUUCCUGCAUGAGGAAAAAAUGGCAUUCACUGACAUGCAUCAAUACUUAUUGAAUGUUGACAGAGACCAAACAGCAGAUGUGAACACUGAGGCGGUGCAGAGUGCAUUUCAGCAGUGGCAACCAGUGGGUCACCUCCACUGGUGUAGACUUUGACAAGCAUGGCAUGCAGACUCCUGUUCUCCACUGGAAAAAAAAAAAAAAUCAGAGCUAACGGUAGUGACUACUUAAAAACAGUGUUGCAUAGUUAAGAAUUAGCUCUACCAAGCAAUGUUAUUGUGCUCUUUGUAUCUGUGGUAAUUUCCACAGAAAUAGAUGGGAGGCGUUACUUUUGGAGUGACCUACAUAGAGUAUCACCCAGUGGUGUUUGCACCAUUCAUUUUUAAGCCUUAGGAAUUAGAAGAUGAACUACUAUCAAUGGCAGAUCUAAGACAGCUCUCAUUUGAGAGUCAUCCCAGGCUCUUUUUCAAUGCCUCAAAUCCCCUUCUAGGCACGUUCAUUAAUGAUUCACUAAUCUGUUAAGCCCAUCCCAGCUGACACAGCUAAGAUGCAGGGCAGAGCGUACUGUACUUUCACUUGGGUUUAGUUACACACUCACUCUGCACACAGGGCUCACAGAAAGCUAUUCUAAUGCUGUUGACUUUCUAGCAUCCUCCCAUAAAAUCCCUCUGCUCCACUCCAGGAAGAUUAGUUCCUAUGCAAUUCACUCUGACAGAAUCAGAAAACAGGCCAGUUUAUUUUACUCCAAAAGAUUAGACGUAGUAAAACAGGGAGUAAAGAAGGACAACAUUUGAGUCAUUGCCCAGAAGUGGGCUAGGUAACCUAAUAUGAGAGCUCAGAUGUGUGAAAGGCAGCAGAAUGAACAUCUCAAGAGAGACUCAAAGAUCCAGAUUUGGAGAGAUAAUAAAACAUUUCCCUCAUUUCAGACCUUCCUGAACCAUAAGGACGGCUGAUGUGUUGGAAAUUAUGCAGUAUUUUGUCAAGGAUGCAGUGAUAAACCACAGGAUGAACACAAGACAACCCAUAUCAAUUGGACCAAGAACACUAAGGUCUCACCUCUUUGUUAGACCCAGUGUAGCACCACUGAUCCAAAAGUGCUAGGCUGCAGCCUUACUGUCAGAAACUCAGGUUUCAGUUCCCUCUGUGCCAAGAACUUGUUUCAUUUCAGGAAAGUUAGAGACCUUCUCUGAGUCACCGCCAUCUCUGAACAGGAUGAGGAUGAAGCACAGGAUGAAAGCCUACUUGUAUACUGUUCCUUAAUCUAUGUUUUGGGUUUGGUUUAAAAAGUUCCUCACCUCUGUUAUCCAUCAUGUCUACAAACGUUUGACAACCCAGUACAUAUGGCUGUACAAACAAACUGUAAGCAAAAAGUUCUACAGCAAUACCUAACAAACAAUUUGUAUUGCAUUACAGUCAGGAAGGGAGUCGAGAAAGAAGCGUCUGAACAGCUUGAGUGAGAAGAAUUGUUCCUUUUCAACACAUUAGGAGAGCAAUAUACAUAUUUCAGGGUGUUAUAUCCAAGGAGUGAUUCCAUCCCUCACAAUUACUAUCAUUGCGCAUGAAAAACUAGACAUGACCAAAUACUUCCUUCCUCUCCUCAGUGCCACAGAAGACCCUUGCAUGACAUUCUUCCUUCCCCUUAAUCCUGUUAUUUUUGCUCUUUCCUAUCCUCUAUUCCCGUUUCCUCUCUGAGCAUGUCUGAGGCCUGAUCUCAUAUCACACUGAAAAGCAUCUUACACUUUGUAGCCCCCCUGCUCCUUUUCUGGUUGGAUGAACAGAUGGGACACAACGGCAUCAAGCUUCACUCAGAGGAGCAAGCUCACAGAAGAACAGCAACUUCGAUGACUCCACAGGACACUGCCUUGGAUCCUGCCUCCUUCUGGGGUCAGCAUUAAAUGAGGGAGGGGGGACAGAAAAACAGAAAACAUUUUGCAAUUCUGUCUCGGUAUACUCACUUCCAUUUAGCAGGAACUUAUAGUUGAGGAAUUUUUUCCAAGUCAAACAGGGUAUUGUUGGCAAUGUACCCUGCUUACUCGCUUCCCAGCUGUGAAUCCUGGCUGCAGCGUAACCCCAGGGCAACCCAAUAGCAGUCCCCUACCUCCUCCGUCGUGGCCCUCAAGCCACCACAGGGCAAGCACAGCUUAUGUCCUAACAUGGCAGUGGGCACGUACCCAGACUACAGGAUUUCAUCCAUUACUUGAAGUAAUGAAGUGACUAAAGAUUUUUCCAUUGGCGAACUAGGUUUUCAAAGCCCUCAGAGAAAGAAGCCUACAUUACGUACUAAGUUUUCUUGUGUGUCAGGAUUGACACACUGACAACAGGAAACAGUGUGUUUCAGUACUAGGUCUGGUGCCAGGCUUGAGCCACCACUUGCGCAGAUCAUAUGCCCCUCCAAAUACACAUACAUCAUCUGAAAAAAAAAAAUUAAACUGAUUUUUAUCUAUAAACUGUUGUAUAAAACUUCUACCCAAGAUGCAACAGUAGUUAGGUAAAACUAAGGGAAAUAUGACACAUUUCUAAAGGAACUAUAAAAAGAAGGAAAGUUAUGUGAGGUUAGGGCAAACAAGAUGAACUGAUACCAAAUCAGAUCAAACAUGUUUGGUGCACAAGCUUGCCCAUUUUAAUAGGAACUUGUUAAUCUUCGAGCUUUUUGGCUAUUUGAAUGGCUUUUCCAAUAUCAUCGGGCAAUAAUACGUUACAGCCUUCCUUGUACAGUAAGCAUUUCAGUAUCAUCCAUAUCAUAAAGACACCUGCAAAAACACGUUUUUCUAACAUACAGAGACCUCCACUGCCACCAAGAGCUUUCUGAACAGUCUUGAUGUGUAGCAUGAACUAAGUAUGAAGGAGCAAUCUGGACUUAAUAAGUAUGAGCUUUGUAAGUUAAAUAUGCAUUUUGCGACAGACAUUUCUUGCUGCUACUUAACCAUGAGUGGAAAGAAGUUUUAACUCAUGUUUCUGAAACAAAAAAAAAAAGCAAAAAACCCCAAUAUUGUUAUCCUUACCAGCAGACAACUUCAGACGUUUGUUUGUCAUGUAUGCAUGGAAGCAUUAUUUGUAAUAUACAGAAAGUCAUGCUGACCCUUGUACUAUGCACCAUUCCUUUUAUUAAAUGCUUACCUUUAACAAGUAAGAAUAAUGAAAAAUACUCAUUUGAGUCUCAAAGUAAAGGUGCAGUGGUGUUGCAAACAGAAGAAGUCAAGCAACUGAAAUUGAAAGAAGUUAUGACAACAACUUCCUUUUCUCCUCUCUUUCAUUAAGAACUCAAAUAACAUUUCCACAAGGCAUCCAGAAUUAAGAAAUCUGCCUAAUGUGAUUUUUGAACAGCAAGGUCAUGAAAAGCAAGGGCAAACUAUCAGUAGCAGAAAAUCACUGAGUAUCAGCCUAAUCUGUAAAAUGAAGAUUACUUGCUUUACAGAUUGCUCUGAUAUCUUCUGAUGAACACCAUAAAAACACAGAGCAUUCUUCACUGAUACUUCAGUGAGCUGCAGACGGAAUAAAUAAGUUAAUAAGGUAAAGAAAACUUCUGUACUGAAAGAUUAAUAGUCAAAAGGCUCAGGGUUGGGAAUAAAAGUAUCCAAAAUAGCACAUUUUCUUCCCUUCAACUGAAGAGAAUGGAAAGAAAAGCAGCUUUGAAAAAAAAUCUCAUGAAAAAUUUCUACACGUAAAUGAAGAUACUCCACUGACAACUGCAAAAUUCCUUUUGAGUUCCAUUUCAUAUUAAUUAACUUGAAAAUUAAGUCCUAAGUCCUUAAGUCCUCAGUAAAAUCCAUUUAGAAGCUUAAAGGUUUAAAGAAAGUGAUUUAAAAAUAUUUUAUUGCUUCUGAUUAUGUUACUAUAUACAGUACACACACAACUGGUGAAACAGGUAGCAAAAGGAAAAUAGAGAUGAAAAUAAGUUUACAGUCAAACUGAAUGACAAAAGCAUUCUGCCCUCAGUCUUCAUCUUUCAACACCAGUAAUGCCUCACUAUCUCCCUUUCUUCUCCCUGUCUAUUCCAGGGCACAAAGAAAUAAACCAUCAGCCCUCAACCUGCAUUAACAGGCAAUUUUCCUGAAGUUCAUGACCUGCACGUUAAUCUGUUAUUAAAAAAUUAAUCUGAAAGGCAGAGGUUCUCUAUCAGGAGGUGAUGAGACAUCUUUGCUAAUAGCAAUCCAGUUCUCUCGCUUUUGAUUGUCAUAACAUUCAAGAUUUCUUCUUCUCUAUUUAUGACAGCUAACAGUGAUGAGAAGUUGCUGUUGAAGAGCAAUAGUGAACAGUGGAACAUUCAGAGAAGAAACGCUGUCACAAUGCUUUCACACGAUACAGCAUUUUGAGGUUAGUCCACAAAUGAAGUAGUUUCCUUCAAAGUAAGUUUGAAGCCUUAUUUUCAUUAACGUUAUUUGGAUAGAUUUCUUGUUCAGGAUGACAGCUUUAUACUCUACCCAUUUUAAAGAUACACCUAGAGAAGAUGAAAACUCAUUUUGCAUUGUGGUGUUUACCUUUCCAGGUCUGAAUUGGUGUGGUCUCGUGCUAGCAGAGAAUGCACCGCUAUUAACAUAUUCAAGUAAGAAACACUCACCUAAAGCUAAUAUACACAACAGACACUAAGGGAGGCAGUUGUCAGUAGCAACUGGCAAACUGGACAUCCUGAAUUCUAAUCUGAAAAGGUAAGAUUAAAUGCUAUUUGGCUGUAUGCAACUCCUAUGGUGAUUUUUUUUAAAAAACUUUUUCAAUUUGUGAAGCUUAUUGAUGGAUGCUGUGGACUUUUACAUGCUAAAAGCACUUACAUUUGUUUUCAAAGCAGCGUUCUUGUAGCUAGCAGCAUAAGCUCCCUAUAGUUUCCAGCAACAAGAGCACAGUCUCCCCAUACAUGGCAACAAACCUGGCAGAGAGCAAAACACUUCUGAUACAAAGACAUUACUGCACUCUGCAACCUGCCCAUUUGUUCAGUUUUUAUUUUCUCAGUUCACUCACAGAUAAUUGACUCAUUCUCUUUAAGCAUGACAGACCUCGUCAGAAGCACUCUACUACCUGUCUUGACACAUCUCUCAGUACAACCAUUGGUAAAGACCAACUUUGGCCUGAGUGGGACCAGAAAUAAGACAACACUGAACACUUCCCCACUCUGCAAUUUAAUCAAAGUGUUCAAAGUGCUACUUAUUAAAACUAUAGGCAGGUUCAGUCAAAUUAGCAGCAUUGAAAACCGUUCCAGGAGGCCCAAGAGCCACCUGCUUUCACACUGGCAAAACAGCAAACAUUUACCAAGCACCUGUAUGAAGGGAAGUCCUGUUUGUGUUUGGUUUGGGGGUGGGAUUUUUAUUAUUCUUCUGUCAUCUCUUUAUCCAACAGCUUCACUGUUGCCAGCGUAAGUAAUAAAACUAUACACAAUACAGAAGGAAAGGAGGACAUCAGCACACAGCCUUGAUGCUAGCUCAUGCCAGACUUAUGCUACCCGUUCACAAAUUGUUAAGUGUAUCCAAGUAACUUGGCUUCUCCUGACACAACACAUUAUGUAUGUAUAAAAGUACAUAACAGAAG